GCGACAGGCCUAACACAUGCAAGUCGAGGGGCAGCACAAGGAGCAAUCUGAGGUGGCGACCGGCGCACGGGUGAGUAACACGUAUGCAACCUGCCUGUAAGCGGGGAAUAACCCGUUGAAAGACGGACUAAUACCGCAUAAUACUAAAUUACUGCAUGGUAAUUUAUUUAAACAUUUAUGGCUUACAGAUGGGCAUGCGCAUGAUUAGCUAGUUGGAGAGGUAACGGCUCCCCAAGGCAACGAUCAUUAGGGGUUCUGAGAGGAAGGUCCCCCACACUGGUACUGAGACACGGACCAGACUCCUACGGGAGGCAGCAGUGAGGAAUAUUGGUCAAUGGACGAGAGUCUGAACCAGCCAAGUCGCGUGCAGGAAGAAUGUUCCCUAUGGAUUGUAAACUGCUUUUGCAGGGGAAUAAAGUGCAUCACGUGUGAUGUUUUGUAUGUACUCUGCGAAUAAGGAUCGGCUAACUCCGUGCCAGCAGCGGC
rnacentral:rRNA from 1 species